rnacentral:tRNA from 1 species
GCUGAUGUGGCACAGUCGGUAGCGCAACGCCUUGGUAAGGCGUAGGUCACCAGUUCGAAUCCGGUCAUCAGCUCCA